CUAUACGUGAGAAAGCCUCGUCUACCCCUCUCCCUGUAAUUAGUUACUUCUAUAGUUGGCACCCAUCCUUAUCUCUUAUCUCCAAAAUCGAUUCCCCAACCCUAACCUCCCGUUCUCAACGACGGCGCCGCCGCACAGAUCUGGCACUAUCCGGCGAGGCUUGAGCUGCCUGGGGCCGGGCUCCGUCGCCUCCUUUGUCGGCGCACGGACGAAGGAAGCCGAGGCUUUAGUCUAGCGUCGUCCCUUUUCUGUCAGGAAAGGCGAAGGUUAUGGUUCGCCGCCGAACUUCGUCGGCUGAAAUCAUGGCGCCGCCGUGGCUGAUGCCACCUGUGUUCAGCCGGAAGGGGUCCGGCACAUCGCGAGCGUCGCUAUAUAGGGGGCAAAUAGCUCCGAUGCCGGCGAGGUUAUCCUCCGGCGAUGAGGUCUUUGCGGGUUUUCUCAUCAGAACGAGCUGUCAUCGCAUCGUGGCGGAGUUUGGGUUUCUCUGAGACAUGACGGGGAGCACGAGCUUGAGGACCGCGGCGUCGUGGCGGUGUUUGGGUUUCUCUGAGACAGGACGAGGAGCACGAGCUUGAGCUAGGUCCUUCUUUUGAUCUCUGGAUGACCGAGAGAUGCGAGAUGCCACCGACCUGAUUAUUUGGUGGUUGAUCCGUCACUUGAAUUUGCAUGAUCGUCCACAAGCAUUCGGAGCACAUGGGGAAAUAUAUAUGAUUAUGCUACUGGUUUUUCUCCUAUUGCCUCUUCUACUCGGAUCUUCUUCUACUAGAACGAUUAGAAUCACUACAGCGUUCCGAGCACAUGGUGAAAAUGAUUUUGCUACUGGUUAUUUGCCUGUUGUGGUCUUGCUUCUUCUACUUGGUUUAAUAAAUCAAUUAUGAUAUAUCGCUUGAAGGUGAAUAGUCUAUAGGGGAGUGUGAAGUAAACGAGAUGAGUGCUAUACCCAGUUACCCACUGGAGUGGAGAGACAUAUCGCCUCUGCAAGCCUUGGACAAAGUUAUUCAUUCAAUACAUGUUCUUAACCCAAUCUUUCCUGUUGCCAUUUCAAGUACCCAUUUCCAAUCACAGGAAUAACAAUACAGAUGAAGAGGGAGAAGAAAAACAAGCUGUGAAGGCUGCAUAACAACAGGCAGGUUGAUUUGAAAUGCAGAUGAAUCCUUCCAGUUCCAUUCGAUCCCAAUCCAAACUCGGUGUACACAAUAAAUUCAGGAUCCUAAUUGCUUGAAAAAGUAAUGCUUUUUGAUUUUUGACAUCACGGGUAUUAUAAUGUUUAUUUGACAUCACGGGUAGUAUAAUGUUUAUGUGACAGCUUCAAAUCUUCAAUGUUAUAACUAUUUACUUAUUAUUGCUGCAUUCAAGCGAAUAUAUAAAGAAUCCAAUCGACGGCCGAUCUAUGUUACA